GACAGAGGGUGCAAACGUUGUUCGGAAUUACUGGGCGUAAAGCGCGUGUAGGCGGCUGCGUGUGUCGGGCGUGAAAUCCCAUGGCUCAACCAUGGAAGUGCACCCGAAACUGCGUAGCUAGAGUCCUGGAGAGGAAGGUGGAAUGCUUGGUGUAGAGGUGAAAUUCGUAGAUAUCAGGAAGAACACCUAUGGCGAAGGCAGCUCUCUGGGACGGUACUGGACGGCUGAGACGCGAAAAGCGUGGGGAGCGAACAGG
rnacentral:rRNA from 1 species